rnacentral:rRNA from 1 species
UUGAAGUCGAGAAUAAAGGAAAAAUUAGAAAUAAACUGUCUUAAAGGUUUUAUUAUAAAAUUACUAAUAUGGUGAAAAUUCCAUAAUAAAAUUUUAAUAGACGAGAAGACCCUAUGAAUUAUUACAAAAAAAUUUUUUUAAAAAUUUUAAAUUUUUGUUGGGGCAACAUGAAUUUUAAAAAAAUUUUUAUAAUAAAAUUUUACAUUUGAAGUUAAUAUUAUAAAUGAAUUUAAUU